rnacentral:rRNA from 1 species
GAUUCUUUCACCGUUCUCCAAGCGUCUUAUCAAGAUCUGCGGGAGAAUGAGGGAGGAUCUGUUUUCUUUAUAAAUGCUGUUUCCCACAACCGGGAUCUCCUUGAGGCGGAAAUCUCCGCAAGGAGGUGCCUGGAAGUGGAACAGAGGAUCCGAUGGGAAGAAAUCCCCAAGAGCAAGGCAAGUCUCGAAAGAGCUGAGCACGAGCAUGCUCUCGACUUGUUUAAGUCGGAGGAUCUUAGAAGGGAAUUAGAAAAAAAAGAGCGGGGUAGCUCAGUAAUUCUGAUUCUUUUCUCUUCCAGCCCCGGCCCCUCUUUCUUUUCUCUUCCAGCCCCCGGCCCCUCUUUGAUAAGGAAAGUUUUCAUUUCGAAAAUAAAAAAUGACAUAUAUGGUUCGAUGGCUCUUCUCUACUAA